rnacentral:rRNA from 1 species
UACGAGGGGGGCUAGCGUUGCUCGGAAUCACUGGGCGUAAAGGGUGCGUAGGCGGGUUUUUAAGUCAGAGGUGAAAUCCUGGAGCUCAACUCCAGAACUGCCUUUGAUACUGAAAGUCUUGAGUAUGGGAGAGGUGAGUGGAACUGCGAGUGUAGAGGUGAAAUUCGUAGAUAUUCGCAAGAACACCAGUGGCGAAGGCGGCUCACUGGCCCAUAACUGACGCUGAGGCACGAAAGCGUGGGGAGCAAACAGG